rnacentral:rRNA from 1 species
AUUGAACGCUGGCGGCAGGCCUAACACAUGCAAGUCGAGCGAGCGGCGGACGGGUGAGUAAUGUAUGGGGACUGCCCGCUAGAGGGGGAUAACUACUGGAAACGGUGGCUAAUACCGCAUACUAUCGGAUAACCCAUAUGGGAGUAGCUAGUUGGGGGGGUAAAGGCUCACCGAGGCGACGAUCUCUAGCGGGUCUGAGAGGAUGAUCAGCAACACGGGUACUGAGACCCGGCCAAGACUCUUCCGGAGGCAGAAGUGGGGAUUAGUGCACAAGGGGCGCAAGCCUGAUGCAGCAAGGCCGCGUGUAUGAAGAGGGCCUUAGGGUUGUAAAGUACUUUCGGUAGCGAGGCGUUAACUACAGAAGAAGCACCGGCUAACUCCGUGCCAGCAGCCGCGGUAAUAC